rnacentral:rRNA from 1 species
AUUGAACGCUGGCGGCAGGCCUAACACAUGCAAGUCGAGCGGAUGAAGGGAGCUUGCUCCUGGAUUCAGCGGCGGACGGGUGAGUAAUGCCUAGGAAUCUGCCUGGUAGUGGGGGAUAACGUCCGGAAACGGGCGCUAAUAUCGCAUACGUCCUGAGGGAGAAAGUGGGGGAUCUUCGGACCUCACGCUAUCAGAUGAGCCUAGGUCGGAUUAGCUAGUUGGUGGGGUAAAGGCCUACCAAGGCGACGAUCCGUAACUGGUCUGAGAGGAUGAUCAGUCACACUGGAACUGAGACACGGUCCAGACUCCUACGGGAGGCAGCAGUGGGGAAUAUUGGACAAUGGGCGAAAGCCUGAUCCAGCCAUGCCGCAUGUGUGAAGAAGGUCUUCGGAUUGUAAAGCACUUUAAGUUGGGAGGAAGGGCAGUAAGUUAAUACCUUGCUGUUUUGACGUUACCAACAGAAUAAGCACCGGCUAACUUCGUG